GCCGUUGUAGCUCAGUGGUAGAGCACGUCCUUGGUAAGGACGAGGCCAUGGGUUCAAUCCCCAUCAACGGCUCCA
rnacentral:tRNA from 1 species